UACGUAGGGUGCAAGCGUUGUCCGGAAUUAUUGGGCGUAAAGAGCUCGUAGGCGGUUUGUCGCGUCUGCUGUGAAACCCGAGGCUCAACCUCGGGCCUGCAGUGGGUACGGGCAGACUAGAGUGCGGUAGGGGAGAUUGGAAUUCCUGGUGUAGCGGUGGAAUGCGCAGAUAGUCAGGAGGAACACCGAUGGCGAAGGCAGGUCUCUGGGCUGUAACUGACGCUGAGGAGCGAAAGCAUGGGGAGCGAACAGG
rnacentral:rRNA from 1 species